GACGAACGCUGGCGGCGUGCCUAAUACAUGCAAGUCGAACGAGAGCGACCGGUGCUUGCACUGGUCAAUCUAGUGGCGAACGGGUGAGUAACACGUGGGUAACCUGCCCAUCAGAGGGGGAUAACAUCCGGAAACGGAUGCUAAAACCGCAUAGGUCUUCGAGCCGCAUGGCUUGAAGAGGAAAAGAGGCGCAAGCUUCUGCUGAUGGAUGGACCCGCGGUGCAUUAGCUAGUUGGUGAGGUAACGGCUCACCAAGGCCGUGAUGCAUAGCCGACCUGAGAGGGUGAUCGGCCACAUUGGGACUGAGACACGGCCCAAACUCCUACGGGAGGCAGCAGUAGGGAAUCUUCCGCAAUGGACGCAAGUCUGACGGAGCAACGCCGCGUGAGUGAAGAAGGUUUUCGGAUCGUAAAACUCUGUUGUUAGAGAAGAACAAGUGCUAGAGUAACUGUUAGCGCCUUG
rnacentral:rRNA from 1 species